rnacentral:rRNA from 1 species
UACCAGCACCCCGAGUGGUCGGGACGAUUAUUGGGCCUAAAGCAUCCGUAGCCGGUUCUACAAGUCUUCCGUUAAAUCCACCUGCUCAACCGUUGGGCUGCGGAGGAUACUAUAGAGCUAGGAGGCGGGAGAGGCAAGCGGUACUUAGUGGGUAGGGGUAAAAUCCGUUGAUCCAUUGAAGACCACCAGUGGCGAAGGCGGCUUGCCAGAACGCACUCGACGGUGAGGGAUGAAAGCUGGGGGAGCAAACGGG